rnacentral:rRNA from 1 species
UACGAAGGGAGCGAGCGUUGUUCGGAAUCACUGGGCUUAAAGCGUGCGUAGGUGGAUUGGUAAGUAAGGAGUGAAAUCCCAGGGCUUAACCCUAGAACUGCUCUUUAGACUGCCUGUCUGGAAUUCGGAAGAGGUUGGUGGAACUCCCAGUGUAGAGGUGAAAUUCGCAGAUAUUGGGAAGAACACCGGUGGCGAAGGCGACCAACUGGUCCGACAUUGACACUGGAGGCACGAAAGCGUGGGUAGCAAACAGG